AGUGAACGCUGGCGGUAGGCCUAACACAUGCCAGUCGAACGGCAGCACAGUAAGAGCUUGCUCUUACGGGUGGCGAGUGGCGGACGGGUGAGGAAUACAUCGGAAUCUACUUUUUCGUGGGGGAUAACGUAGGGAAACUUACGCUAAUACCGCAUACGACCUACGGGUGAAAGCAGGGGAUCUUCGGACCUUGCGCGAUUGAAUGAGCCGAUGUCGGAUUAGCUAGUUGGCGGGGUAAAGGCCCACCAAGGCGACGAUCCGUAGCUGGUCUGAGAGGAUGAUCAGCCACACUGGAACUGAGACACGGUCCAGACUCCUACGGGAGGCAGCAGUGGGGAAUCUUGGACAAUGGACGCAAGCCUGAUCCAGCCAUACCGCGUGGGUGAAGAAGGCCUUCGGGUUGUAAAGCCCUUUUGUUGGGAAAGAAAAGCAGCAGGUUAAUACCCCGCUGUUCUGACGGUACCCAAAGAAUAAGCACCGGCUAACUUCGUG
rnacentral:rRNA from 1 species